CCUAUCAAAGGUGAUGGAGUUCGCCUGGAACCGCCCUCAAAAAGCUGAUAACUCCUGUAUUCGU
rnacentral:ncRNA from 2 species